rnacentral:rRNA from 1 species
GCUCCAAUAGCGAAUACUAAUUCUGCUGCAGUUAAAAAAGCUCGUAGUUGAACUUCUGGUAGGACAGAUCCGGCCUUUGGAUGAAUGUCCAUUGUAUGCUGUGUGUCUUGUCUGGCCAUCCUUUAUGUCUUUUAGGCGUAAUCUUUCACUGUAAAAAAAUUAGGGUGUUUCAAGCAAAAGUUAUUUGGAAUAUAUUAGUA